rnacentral:rRNA from 1 species
UGCAGAGGGGGCAAGCGUUGUUCGGAAUUACUGGGCGUAAAGGGCGCGUAGGCGGCCUUCUAAGUCAGACGUGAAAUCCCCGGGCUCAACCCGGGAACUGCGUCUGAGACUGGAAGGCUUGAAUCCGGGAGAGGGAUGUGGAAUUCCAGGUGUAGCGGUGAAAUGCGUAGAUAUUCGGAAGAACACCAAUGGCGAAGGCAGCUCUCUGGGACGGUACUGACGCUGAGACGCGAAAGCGUGGGGAGCGAACAGG